GCGAUCGUACCAACACUAAUGCACUAGAUCCCAUCCAAACUCUACAGUGAAGCAUGCUUGGGUGAGGGUAGUACUAGGAUGGGUGAACCCCUGGGAAGUCCCCGUGUUGCACCCA